GGAGGGAGGGAGCUAAAGAGCGAGCAGGCGAGCGAGGGAGGGAGAGAGAGAGAGAGAGAGAGAGAGAGAGGGGGAGAGCGCCAGAGAGAGAGAGGGGGAGAGGGAGGGGGGGGGAGGGAGGGAGGAGGAGGAGGAAAAAUAAAGAGGAGAGAACGGAGCAGGGCUGAACAAUAGAGACAGGCAGACGGGAGAGAAGGAGGACCAGCUGCUGCUGCUGUAGGAGGAGAGCUGGAGGCUGAGGCAUCUUGGACCCCUGUCCCUGAGCCAGAGAGGAGGCAAGCAGCCCGGUGGAGGGAACUGGCUACCAUGGGGGAGCCAGCAGAAGGCUCCCCCAGCCCUCCCCGAGCCUCUGCUUGAAGCUGUGCAUCAUCUCCUCCGGCUCCGCUGCCCCCAUCCCGCGCCUGCCCGCCCUCGAAACCCCAAUUCCUUAGGAUCUGAUCGCCUCAGCUUCUGGGCACCGGGUCUCCGCCGCCCCCGCCCCCGCCCCCACGGAGGAGACGAGACGCCGGCCCUCCGUUUCACCUCCCGGGGGCUGUCCGCAAAGCCCCCUCCCCAGUCAUGAAUCCCCCGGAGGGGGCAGCGGAGGAAGGAGGAGCAGCCGACUCGGACGUGGAUGCGUUUUUCCGGACAGGACCCCUCAGAACUAAGGCAGCCUCUGCUCCCUGAAGUGAACAAGCUUCUUCCCAUGCUGGUUCUCCAUGCCCCUGAGUCACCUGUGCUCUCCUAUAUAGGCCUACACACCUAUUUGUACCCUCACUCUCAUCUACAGAACUGCACGCCUGCACAAGUUAUGCCCACAGAUGAAGGAUGAUUCUCUCAGUUUGCGAUGGAUUCCCAUGACCACUUCAAUACUUGUCUGCUGGUUUAACCUUGAAGGGACAAAGAAGCACAGACACAUUUUCAAGGACUCCAAACCUCUCGGAAUUUCCAAAGACUCCUAGAGUUGGUCCGGUCCUGUUAGGACUAUACCUGGAACUGUACACCUCAUCUAAGUCUGUCUCUUAAAUAGAGGGUAGCUAGGUAGUAGAGUGGUUAGAGGGUUGGGCCUGGAGUUGGGAAGAUUCAUCUUCCUGAGUUCAAAUCUACCCUCAGACACUAGUUGUGUGACCCUGGGCAAGUCACUUAACCCUGUUUGCCUCAGUUUCCUCAUCUGUAAAAUGAUUUGGAGAAGGAAAUGGCAAACCAGUCUACUAUCUUUGCCAAGAAAACCCCAAAUGGGAUCAUGAAGAGUCAGACAUAACUAAAAACAACACAACAGCAACAGCAAAACUCUUAGUUAGAAGAUAUUCCUUAUCUUAGGACCACAGAGUCAGAGAAUUUUAGAGCUUGAGAUAGUCCAGUCCAGAUUCCUCAUCUUACUGAUGAUUAUAAUAAAAUAAUAAAAUAAAAUAAAAUAAAAUAAAAA
rnacentral:lncRNA from 1 species